rnacentral:lncRNA from 1 species
AUGGGACUGGACACUUUGAGUGCCUUGGGAAAGCUCUUCUGCUCUUUGUCCUUUGGAAUACAGAGAAAACCAGCUAGAGCCCCAAAAUGGCUUUUAUUUGCACCUACCUGCUGCCUCUCCAUCUCUUCCAGCUGGCACAUUUGGGAGGUGCAAAGGGCUGAAAAACUGCUGAAGAAUUGCAUCUUCACUGCAUGGAGAAAUCCAGAGGUGCCUUGCAGGGACAUAAUCUAUACAGAGAAUAAUUUUAAAUUGUUCCCCAUGUGAAGAUGCCGAGGAGAAAAAGGUGGUCUCAGCUCAGGAUUCUGAGUGGAAAUGUUAUUGCUGCUUCAGCUGUCCCUAUUCUGGAAGUCCCAGCUUUCAUAUUGAGAAAAAUCCAUUUUCCACAAAGUAGACAACUUAUUCCAUGGGACUGUCCACAUGAACAGGAAAACCAGAAUGGUUAAAGUAUACCUAUUUCCAGUAUCACAAUCCCAGCUGGUCUAUUUUCUGCACAUACCAGUUGACUCUUCGCUUUCUUGAAAGAGUAAUUAUUAUGAAAGAAGUUAUUAUUUGAGAACAGAAAAUCUGAAAAAGGAAGAGAAUUGGCAAUUGGCAUAAUUAUAGUAGAAUAGCAUCCCUGACCAGGCCAACCCUAAGUGUCACAGCAAGUUCUUUGAUCUACUCCAAAACAAUGUAGCCACAAGCUUGAUUUUCCCUCAAGACAGAAAGUUGAAUCACAGUAUGUCCCAAAAUAAUUUAAUGAGCAUGAAUUCCAAAUUAAAUUAAAAAAACUUGUAAAGGCACUACACCCCAAAGAUACCAGUCGCCACAGAAUUUUUUAACCAACUGUGUUUUAUUUCAAAUAAUAACAGUAAUUAAAAAUACAUAUCUUAGAAGCACAAGCAGAUUAGUUAAAGAACAUUUUAGGAUUAUAAAAGCACUUUCCGUUGUAUCAACCAGAUGUCAUUUCAAAUGCUACUGUUUGGAUUAAUUAACUGAGUUCAGGACACCACAUAUUAAACUUGCUAGUUGUACUACCCAUCCUCCCUCAUAUCCUUUUGUAAUUUAUUACUAAAAUCUUGGCCAAUUAGAAAAACACAAUCUAUUAAGUAAAACAGCACACUGAACCAAUCAACAGUAAUUACUCAGAUUAGGAGCCAUUUAAAUGAUUUAUGGCAGAAAUUAGUUUUUUUAAAAUGCUUCAUAAAGG